rnacentral:lncRNA from 1 species
UAAUUUUAGGUGGCUUAAGGGUAGCUUACAUUUUGGACCUUUGGAAGAUACCUAUAUGGGUAAUAUUAGCAACUUGAAUCAGUAGUCAAAACAGGUUAGAGCUUUCAAUACUUUGUCCUUAAUAUACUAAGGCUGUUGGGAUUUGUCCAAUUUUUAUUUUGGUGAAGUUGAUUCUUUUAACCAGAAACAUUUAUUUUUAUACCGUCAGAUAUCUCUCAUUUCGUUUAUAUGUACAUUGGUUCAAGUUUGUUUUUGUGAAGCACUUCCUUCAAAUAUCCUUUAGUUUGUUUUGUGAAAGUUUAAAGUUGAUAGAUUCCAAAUUUGUGACUGCAUUUGAAGGUAUUGACUGUUUUUAUAUGUAAAAGAGGAAAGGGAGAAUACAAAAUUGUGUUUCCCCUGCUCUUCUUAAAACUACUCUUUCAACAGAAAUAGUAGUUGAAGUUUAUUUCUUUGGUUUCAUCUGUUUUACGUACAUUAUAAUUUCCAAAGAAAGUAAUGAAAUUUAGCUUACGAUAUUUACUAAUUUUGCAACUUUUUUUUAUUAACUGGAUAAUUCAAGAGUUUGUUGUACAUUAUCUCAAAUGAUCUUUCCAAAAGCUGAUUUGUAAAUGCAGAGUUGCACUUCCUCAGUUGAGGUGAGGAGUAUAUGAUACCCAAUAUUUUGUCGCAAUGACAAAUGCAGUCAUUUGUUCUUAUGAUUUAGCAUGAAUAGAAUAUCAACUUGCUUAUCUGUAAAUAUCCUUCAAGAAAGCUCUUCAAAUUUUUUAAUGACUAUGGAAUUCACAGCUAUUUCAGGGUAAUAGCAUGCAAAUCACAAAUUUGAGGUAGCCACAUUAAACAAGUCAUGUGUGACAAGUUCGACCGAGAAAGCAUGUAAGGAGUUUUGAACUUGAGACCUCUCAUUUGGGAGGUUCCCCGCUCCCCAUAAGGCUCAUGGUCGGAAGAUUGCAAGUUCAAAUCGUGUCCCCACCUAAUCAGUGGAGUUACAACCACAUAAAGAAUGAGUACUCUGUUCUUAUUUCAUUGUACAUAAUAUUUUUUGUCAGCCAUCAAUUAAUAGUCCUAAUUAUAUAAAAGAUAUAAUCUAUUUCCUAAUUUUCCAAAUAUUAGCCCAUCGCUUCUUGUAAGCCUCUUAAAUUAGGCCUAAGAGAAGGAAAUGAAUUUUUAGAAAACUCAAAGGUGCAAAUUCAUAGUGCACGCUUGCAGGCAGUCUCAAUUAUCAUAGAUUUUUUCACCUUAGGCUUUGUGAUAUUAUUCAGUUAUAAUGUCUGGUUGUAUUGAACAUAAUACCGUAUUCGAGGAAAUUCUUUUGCUCUUUUCAGGAAAGCCACUAAAGAAUUUACCAAGUAUUUUUACAGGAUAUGACCUUCAAUUAAUAUUUUAUCAAAACAUAACAAGUGAUGACUUAGAUGAAGUCUAAGCCGAGUUUACUGUUUACCUUUCUUCUGCAAAAAAAGAGAACAUUUUGAAGAGGGAGGACUUCUACGUGAAUACAUAUGCUUCAAAGGGCAAAAUAUAACACUAAUGGGAGAAGGCCAAAUUGUCGUUUACUAAUGGGAGAAUAUCACAAAUGUUAAAUAUAGCUUGUGCUGAAAGUAAUUUAGGAUGUUUGUACAAGUAGUUGUGCUUUUUUCAGAAUAUCUUUUUUGUUGUUAUUUGAAGGUAUGAAAAGUCAGUGUGUCUAUAGAAUGCAUGCGGUCUAUUGAUCAUCUCUUUGGUGUCAUUGAAGUAAUAGCCACUUUCUGCAACAUUCAGUAAAUGGAGUGCAAUGGUUUGCACUUACAAAAAUUACUUAAGCUAAAUUGUUGUCCUGCCCAAAUUAUUGAGCCUUCAAAUCCUAACGAUUUGUUAGAGUUUGAAACAAUAAGGUUUUAUUCUCCUUUCCCUUUUCUUUUAUGCGUUUUUUAUCCGCUCUUCUUAUAUUGUGUAAACAUUUUUUUUCAUGUGAAAGUAUAGCUCCUCAGAUGGCUCUUGCUUCUCACUAUCUCUGAUGAUAACAAUUUCAAUGCAUUUACCUUGUAAAUUUUGCCUUGUGUUGCAAGAACUGAAUUGGACUAUGUCAUCAGCAGGUUCUUAAUUGCUUAUU